rnacentral:rRNA from 1 species
AACGAACGCUGGCGGCAUGCCUAACACAUGCAAGUCGAACGAGACCUUCGGGUCUAGUGGCGCACGGGUGCGUAACGCGUGGGAACCUGCCCUUAGGUUCGGAAUAACUCCCCGAAAGGGGUGCUAAUACCGGAUAAUGUCUUCGGACCAAAGAUUGAUCGCCUUUGGAUGGGCCCGCGUUGGAUUAGCUAGUUGGUAGGGUAAAAGCCUACCAAGGCGACGAUCCAUAGCUGGUCUGAGAGGAUGAUCAGCCACACUGGGACUGAGAAACGGCCCAGACUCCUACGGGAGGCAGCAGUGGGGAAUAUUGGACAAUGGGCGAAAGCCUGAUCCAGCAAUGCCGCGUGAGUGAUGAAGGCCUUAGGGUUGUAAAGCUCUUUUACCCGGGAUGAUAAUGACAGUACCGGGAGAAUAAGCUCCGGCUAACUCCGUG